rnacentral:rRNA from 1 species
GAUAUUUUUCCUGCCACCGAAUACAUUAGCAUGGGAUAAUGGAAUAGGACCCUGACCUCCUAUUUUCAGUUGGUUUUGUUUAUACAGCGAGGUUCAUCAGGGUAAUGAUUAAUAGGGAUAGUUGGGGGCAUUAAUAUUUAAUUGUCAGAGGUGAAAUUCUUGGAUUUAUGAAAGAUUAACUUCUGCGAAAGCGUUUGCCAAGGAUGUUUUCAUUAAUCAAGAACGAAAGUUAGGGGAUCGAAGACGAUCAGAUACCGUCGUAGUCUUAACCAUAAACGAUGCCGACCAGCGAUUAGGAGACGUUGAAUACAAAACACCGCUGUUAAUCCUUUCGGGGAUUAAUAGUUGGUGAAUGACUCCCUAGCAGUUGUGAGAA